ensembl:lncRNA
CACACACACGUCUUUUGUUAUUCAGUUGUUGGCAUUCCCUUAUAAGUAUUUACUUUGUGUUUUGAAAAAUGUUUCACACAGAAUGAAGAAUUCCGAAAUAUACAUACACAUACAAAUAUACAUAAUAUUACAGCUGAUGAAAAACAUUUUUAAAAAACAAAAAACUCAACACAUUCUGUACAUAUGUCACAAGCAGUUGAAGACACAGAAAUACACAUUUUUCUUUGUUUGUAGUGUUAAUAUAACUGAUGUUCCUGCAUGUCACAGUUAAAUGAAAUAGUGUCCCUUGUCUCUGUAAACUCUAAGUUUUAAGGACUGCAUGUUUUAUUCUGAAGCUAGCAGUUUUGUUAGUCAUCACUCCAAAUGCCAAUUAAGGAGUUUUAUUUCUAUAUUUUGCGGCAAAAUAUUUUUUACACUGUGUGCAAUGGAAUUUACAAAAAUAUUGAUUUACACAAGUGUUUCCAAUCCAGUCAAAGUUCCAGCAAACACAAGGGGCAGAACUGACAGUGGGUUUGUUUUGUUUUGUUUUGUUUUGUAAUUUCUAAAACUUUAAGUUGCUUGCCAUCAGUGAUAUGUGCUAUAACAUUCCGGAGCCAUUGGAAAGUUUCUGAGAAAUACAACCCUGUAGUCCUGUAGUAUUGCAUUAGCCAUGUGAUGACAGUCAUACAUACACUUAAGCUGCACUGCGUUUGAUGGAGCAGUUGCCUUUGACUGAGUAUGUAUUGGCAUUUCUGAUAGGUCUGUUGGGCAAUUCAUUUUGUGUGUGUAUUUGUAUAUACAGUUUAUAUUCAAGCUAACUGAAACAUUUGCAUUAGCCUUUAUACUUUUAAGUAAUGCAAUGUUUGUUUUAUACUUAAGCAUAUUGCUGGAAAACAGAGGCAUUCCUUGUAACAUGAGGUAGCUUUAAAGGUCUUUUUACCUUUCAGUAUUAUUCAUGUAUGGUGGAGUUCUGCACUGAAAUGCGAGGCAAUAUGAAUGGACAUAAUGUUUCAUUAUGCUUCAAAACUUCGCUCAUUUGAAUCUUGGGGAGCGUUGGUUAACAUGGUUGCGUUACACCAUACUGCAGUACAGUUUAUGCUGGGCUGCUUACUGUCAGACAUAUGUUGAACAGUUAUUUUGGUCUUGCUGUUAAUCAUUCUUUAAGUAAUAAUAAUAAAAAAGGUUGGAUAAGUAAGAAUAUGCCACAUGCAGUAUCCACAGGCUGUGUGUAAUAUAGUCCCACUCCCUUUCUCAUAAUUAUUGUUAAUUGAAUGUAGAAUAAUUAUAUGUAUAAUGGACUCUGUGUGUGCAGUUAAAUAUUUGCUCAUUAGACUAAAAGUGCAAUUUAUACUUUUCUUGUACAGUAUGUAUUGAUUUUUGAACCAUAUUCAGUAUAUGAAUACAAAUGUCAAUUACACCCAUUUAUUGUAAGUUAUAAGUGUAUAUUUUAAUCACUUUUACAUUGGCACUGGUGAUUCCAACGAGUAUAGUGUGGAUGUGAAGAAGGUUCAAUGUUGAGCCAGUCAUAUUUUCUUUAUUUUGAUUCAGAUAUGGAAGAUUAUUUUUGUUGAGCUGUCAUUUUACACUCAUACAGAGCAUGAGAGCCAAAUGCAUUCUUUCUUUCAAUACAAAAUAUUUUCUAUACAUUUCAACAUUGGUGCUGUUUAUUUACAUACAUUUUGUUGUUAUUGUUGUUUAUUUACUGGGUGCCAUAAUAUGUUUUGAAAAUUCCACUUUUCAUAAAAUGGUUACUUUUGAAUUGCCUUUGUGUCUAGAGUUUUGUCUAGUACUUUCUACAAUAUUUAGUUUACGUUUUUUCCAGAAAGCACUAGGCAAUAAAUUUAUUGAAGGUUUU